GAUGUGAACUAGAAAUGCACAAUUUUGUUGAUAAUUUGUAUUGAAAUUAAUUGCAAUUUAGUGCAAAUGUUACUAAAAUUAAUGAGUAAGGACCGUAGGAAUGCUGCGCAACGCCGUUUAAGGCGGCCGCACGUCCGCAGCACCGCAAGAAUGUGACCAGGGAUGUUACAUCCGGCGCCAUACACACAAAAUAUGAUGCUGUGCGACAAGAGUGCCCCACUGUAGGAGAUGUUUUGGAAGAGGCAGCGUCAAGAUCACCCGCAAAUGAAGACUGAACAUAAAAAGCCACCACCGGAUCAGCUGAUGCAAUAGCGGAACAUGUAUGAGCAAG